UACGAAGGGGGCUAGCGUUGCUCGGAUUGACUGGGCGUAAAGGGCGCGUAGGCGGUUCGUACAGUCAGACGUGAAAUUCCUGGGCUCAACCUGGGGGCUGCGUUUGAUACGUGCGGACUUGAGUGCGGAAGAGGGUCGCGGAAUUCCCGGUGUAGAGGUGAAAUUCGUAGAUAUCGGGAGGAACACCAGUGGCGAAGGCGGCGACCUGGGCCAAUACUGACGCUGAGGUGCGAAAGCGUGGGGAGCAAACAGG
rnacentral:rRNA from 1 species